GGGUGUCAUAAUUUUUUAUUUUAAUAUUUUAUAGUUUAAAAUAUAUUACUUUCGUAUUAUAUAUAUAUAUAUAUAUAUAUAUAUAUAUAUAUAUAUAUUCUUCGUUAAUUUAUUUUAGUAAAUUAGUGACAAAUUAAGUUAAAACUACAAGAUCUUAAAGUGAAAAUUCGAUAAAUCAUAGAUAUUAAAGUAAAUAUUCGAUAAAUUAUAAGUGGAGGUAUCUAAAAUAAUUUAUAUAUGAUUUAACAAAAAAUUAACAAAAGUAUUAACGAAAGGAGAAAAAUAAAAGCACAUGAUACUAAAAUGAUACACUUUAAACCAUAGUGUAUUAAAGUGAGAAAGCAUAUAUUAAACUAUAAAGAUGGUAUUUGAAGCUUACCCUUAAUUAAAUUAAGAAAAUAAAAUAAAAAAUAAACUUCACUUUGUCCAUGUUGUUUAGGGAAUUGAGCUCAUUUGCUUGACGAAGAAUAGAGAUUUUGUAUAAAUCAUAGAAAAUUUUUUUAUAAAUACUUUCUUUUUUUUACUUUUUCUGUCUAAUUUUAAAAAUUUAUAUUUUACGCCCUCAAUAUUUUAAGUUAUUGCAUUUAGCCUCUUUCUGUCAGGGUAUUAUCACCAUUCUAUCCAUUUCUUUUAAUUUAUUACAAAAAUAUCCUUCAAAAUAAUAGAAAUAUAUUAAAAAAUUAUUUUUUUUUAGUAAAAGAAUAAGGGCAAUUUAAACAUUUUGCCCUCUCCAUUAACAUCAUAUCCUCCUGAAAACAUUUCUGAAAUUCUAAAGGGGAAAAAAUUAAGUUUUAGAAAGUAACAAAAAAGAAAAGGUGAAAAAACGAGUAUUUAUAGAAAUUUUUUUUGUAAUUUAGCUUUGUAUAAGAUAUAUUUUAUAGCGAGUAUUUAUUAAUGAGAAUCGAUACUAUCAGAAACUAGUUUUGAUGUUACUAGAGCAGAUAAAUUAUUGCAGCCUUAAUUUUAAUUUUUCUUUCUCUAGCAAUAUCAAGAAUAGCUUUGACAAUAUCACUUUUCUUUAUUAAUAGAUAAGCUUUGCAAAAUGUUUUGAUAUACCAUGAGUUAAAAUAAGGACAUGUUUGGUUCAUGAUAGGAAGGAGAAUGAGAAAUAAAAUUAGAUUGUACUAGAAUGAAAAAUGAAAUGACGAAUUAUCAAAAAAUAUUUAAUUUAUUAUUAGAAUGAAAAUCGGAGUGUAUUAUUUAUUGGAACAAUUAGAAUUUUAAGAGAGAUGAUCGGGUUUUAGUUAAGGAAGAGGAGAGCGAUCGAGGGAAGAAAAGAAAGGUGUUUGUGAGAGAGAGCUUUGUGUGAUUUACUUUAGAAUAGACUAAUUCAAGAUUCAAAAUUUGAUUGGGCCAUAAAUAGAUUGGAUUAUUAUUCUCACUCCAAAGUGAAAUAUAAAUUAGAAUCUGAGUUCUGUAAAACAAACAAUAACUAUCGAAAUUACUAUUUUUUUUUUUCUAAUUUCCACUACAACAGAAUUAGGUUAUAGGGACACAUGUUUGGAACACUUUUGAGUAAGUGUCUCAUUUAUGCUAAAACUUAAAAACACAUCUACUAAUGCCUAAAUAUAAAGCCAAAUCCAACCAAAAAUAAAAGAUUACUCUACUCAACCCACCACACCCAGUCCAUUUGACCCGAUUACAAAAAGAAAAGAAAAAAAAAGAAAAAAUCAAUUAUCAUCUUUUCUUCUCUCUUCACUCAAUCCAUUGAAAUUCUAGACGAAGAGCCUUUACUGUCGUCCUCCUCCGCCACCGCAGCCAACGAGAUAGAGUUUCGACGGUUGCUAAAUACUUUAAAUAAGUGUUGGUAAAUUAGCAGCACUCUGUUAGAUUAUAGCGACACUCUUUAACUGUCACUAUAUACCUAGCGAUCCCACAUAUAGCAAUAUUUUUAAAAGUGUCGGUAAUUUUAGCUAGCAGCACUUUUUUGACAUGUACCUAUAUUUAAAAGUGUCGUUAUAGACCAUUUUUAUUAUAGUGAAUUCGUAAUCUAAGUAUUUAUGGUAAUUG
rnacentral:lncRNA from 1 species